rnacentral:rRNA from 1 species
UGCGCAGGCGGGUUAUUAAGUCAGUGGUGAAAUCUCUCGGCUCAACCGAGAAACUGCCAUUGAAACUGAUAAUCUUGAGUAUAGUUGUAGUAGGCGGAAUAUAGCAUGUAGCGGUGAAAUGCUUAGAUAUGCUAUAGAACACCGAUCGCGAAGGCAGCUUACUAAACUAUUACUGACGCUCAUGCACGAAAGCGUGGGGAGCAAACAGGAUUAGAUACCCGAGUAGUCC